rnacentral:rRNA from 1 species
UAGAUGGUAGGGUAAAGGCCUACCAUGGCGACGAUGGGUAGCCGGCCUGAGAGGGUGAACGGCCACACUGGAACUGAGAGACGGUCCAGACUCCUACGGGAGGCAGCAGCUAAGAAUCUUCCGCAAUGGGCGCAAGCCUGACGGAGCGACGCCGCGUGAACGAUGAAGGCCGCAAGGUUGUAAAGUUCUUUUCGGGAAGGAGAAUAAGGGGAGCAGGCAAUGGCUUUCCGAUGCCGUGAAUCCCGGAAUAAGCCCCGGCUAACUACGUGCCAGCAGCCGCGGUAACACGUAGGGGGCGAGCGUUGUUCGGAAUCAUUGGGCGUAAAGGGCGCGCAGGCGGCGUAUAAAGUCUGGCGUGAAAGUCCCCGGCUCAACCGGGGGAUAGCGUUGGAAACUGGUAUGCUUGAGUACGAGAGGGGAUGGCGGAAUUCCAGGUGUAGGGGUGAAAUCUGUAGAUAUCUGGAGGAACACCGACGGCGAAGGCAGCCAUCUGGUUCAGUACUGACGCUGAGGCGCGAAGGUGCGGGGAGCAAACAGGUUUAGAUACCCUGGUAGUCCGCACAGUAAACGAUGUGCACCAGGUGUCGGGCAACAGCUGUUCGGUAC